AGCAGCCGCGGUAAUUCCAGCUCCAAUAGCGUAUAUUAAAGUUGUUGCAGUUAAAAAGCUCGUAGUUGAAUUUCGGGGUCAGUAGAUUGGUCGUGCCACUGGUAUGUACUGGUCUUACUGGCUCCUCCUUCCUGAUGAACCGUAAUGCCAUUAAUUUGGUGUUGCGGGGAGACUGGACUGUUACUUUGAAAAAAUUAGAGUGUUUAAAGCAGGCUAACGCUUGAAUACAUUAGCAUGGAAUAAUGAAAUAGGACGUUCGAUCUUAUUUUGUUGGUUUCUAGGAUUGACGUAAUGAUUAAUAGGGAUAGUUGGGGGCAUUAGUAUUCAAUUGUCAGAGGUGAAAUUCUUGGAUUUAUUGAAGACUAACUACUGCGAAAGCAUUUGCCAAGGAUGUUUUCAUUAAUCAAGAACGAAAGUUAGGGGAAUCGAAGACGAUCAGAUACCGUCGUAGUCUUAACCAUAAACUAUGCCGACUAGGGAUCGGAUGAUGUAAUUUUUAAUGACUCAUUCGGCGCCUUAA
rnacentral:rRNA from 1 species